GAGUUUGAUCCUGGCUCAGGAUGAACGCUGGCGGCGUGCUUAACACAUGCAAGUCGAACGGGAAACUUUUCAUUGAAGCUUCGGCAGAUUUGGUCUGUUUCUAGUGGCGGACGGGUGAGUAACGCGUGGGUAACCUGCCUUAUACAGGGGGAUAACAACCAGAAAUGGUUGCUAAUACCGCAUAAGCGCACAGGACCGCAUGGUCCGGUGUGAAAAACUCCGGUGGUAUAAGAUGGACCCGCGUUGGAUUAGCUUGUUGGUGGGGUAACGGCCCACCAAGGCGACGAUCCAUAGCCGGACUGAGAGGUUGAACGGCCACAUUGGGACUGAGACACGGCCCAGACUCCUACGGGAGGCAGCAGUGGGGAAUAUUGCACAAUGGGGGAAACCCUGAUGCAGCAACGCCGCGUGAGUGAAGAAGUAUUUCGGUAUGUAAAGCUCUAUCAGCAGGGAAGAAGAAUGACGGUACCUGACUAAGAAGCACCGGCUAAAUACGUGCCAGCAGCCGCGGUAAUAC
rnacentral:rRNA from 1 species